UACGAAGGGGGCUAGCGUUGUUCGGAAUUACUGGGCGUAAAGCGCACGUAGCGGGUCGUUAAGUCAGGGGUGAAAUCCCGGAGCUCAACUCCGGAACUGCCUUUGAUACUGGCGACCUUGAGGCCGGAAGAGGUUAGUGGAAUUCCCAGUGUAGAGGUGAAAUUCGUAGAUAUUGGGAAGAACACCAGUGGCGAAGGCGGCUAACUGGUCCGGAUCUGACGCUGAGGUGCGAAAGCGUGGGGAGCAAACAGGAUUGAAAAACCCGGGU
rnacentral:rRNA from 1 species